rnacentral:rRNA from 1 species
UACGUAGGGUCCGAGCGUUGUCCGGAAUUACUGGGCGUAAAGAGCUCGUAGGUGGUUUGUCGCGUUGUCCGUGAAAACUCACAGCUCAACUGUGGGCGUGCGGGCGAUACGGGCAGACUGGAGUACUGCAGGGGAGACUGGAAUUCCUGGUGUAGCGGUGGAAUGCGUAGAUAUCGGGAGGAACACCAGUGGCGAAGGCGGUUGCCUGGAGCUUUGCUGACGCUGAGGCGCGAAAGCGUGGGGAGCGAUCCGG